rnacentral:rRNA from 1 species
GAUGAACGCUGGCGGCAUGCCUAAUACAUGCAAGUCGAACGAGAUGGUUUACCAUCUAGUGGCGAACGGGUGAGUAACAUAUAGAUAACUUGCUUUUAAGACGAGGAUAACAGUUGGAAACGACUGCUAAAACUGGAUAGGAUAUUUAGAUGCAUGUCUUUAUAUUUAAAAGUGCUUCAAAGCACUACUUAAAAAGAGGUCUAUAUCGCAUUAGCUAGUUGGUGAGAUAAAAGCUUACCAAGGCAACGAUGCGUAGCUGUGCUGAGAGGCAGAACAGCCACACUGGGACUGAGACACGGCCCAGACUCCUACGGGAGGCAG